rnacentral:rRNA from 1 species
ACUGGCUAAUACCGGGAUGAGCUGAAAAGUAAAAGAUUUAUCGCCUAGGGAAGAGCUCGCGGCUGAUUAGCUAGUUGGUAGUGUAAAGGACAACCAAGGCAACGAUCAGUAGCUGGUCUGAGAGGAUGAGCAGCCACACUGGGACUGAGACACGGCCCAGAYUCCUACGGGAGGCAGCAGUGGGGAAUYUUCCGCAAUGGGCGAAAGCCUGACGGAGCAAUACCGCGUGAGGGAGGAAGGCUCUUGGGUUGUAAACCUCAWAACUCAGGGAAGAAGAAAGUGACGGUACCUGAUAUAAGCAUCGGCUAACUCCGUGCCAGCAGCCGCGGUAAUACGGAGGAUGCAAGCGUUAUCCGGAAUCAUUGGGCGUAAAGCGUCCGUAGGUGGCAUUUCAAGUCUGCAUUCAAAGACCGAGGCUCAACCUCGGGCAGGGUGUGGAAACUGAAAAGCUAGAGUACAGGAGGGGUAGAGGGAAUUCCUAGUGUAGCGGUGAAAUGCGUAGAGAUUAGGAAGAACACCAGUGGCGAAGGCGCUCUACUGGACAUGUACUGACACUGAGGGACGAAAGCUAGGGUAGCGAAAGGGAUUAKAUACCCCUGUAGUCUUAGCUGUAAACGAUGGAUACUAAGUGUAGCGGGUAUAAACUCCGGCUGUGCUGAAGCAAACGCGUUAAGUAUCCCGCCUGGGGAGUACGCACGCAAGUGUGAAACUCAAAGGAAUUGACGGGGACCCGCACAAGCGGUGGAGUAUGUGGUUUAAUUCGAUGCAACGCGAAGAACCUUACCAAGACUUGACAUCCGAUGAAUUUUCUUGAAAGAGAAAAGUGCCUUAGGGAACAUCGUGACAGGUGGUGCAUGGCUGUCGUCAGCUCGUGUCGUGAGAUGUUGGGUUAAGUCCCGCAACGAGCGCAACCCUCGUCCUUAGUUGCCAGCAUUAAGUUGGGGACUCUAGGGAGACCGCCGGGGAGAACUCGGAGGAAGGUGGGGAUGACGUCAAGUCAGCAUGCCCCUUACGUCUUGGGCUACACACGUACUACAAUGGUUGGGACAAAGGGAUGCGAGACCGCAAGGUGGAGC